rnacentral:rRNA from 1 species
UACGUAGGGCGCAAGCGUUGUCCGGAUUUAUUGGGCGUAAAGAGCUCGUAGGCGGCCUGUCGCGUCUGCUGUGAAAUCCCGGGGCUUAACCCCGGGCGUGCAGUGGAUACGGGCUGGCUGGAGGCAGGCAGGGGAGAAUGGAAUUCCCGGUGUAGCGGUGAAAUGCGCAGAUAUCGGGAGGAACACCGGUGGCGAAGGCGGUUCUCUGGGCCUGUUCUGACGCUGAGGAGCGAAAGCGUGGGGAGCGAAC